AAAUAUUCAUCACAUGCACUGAUUUUCCAGAUAUAAGCAUUUAGAAGAAAAGUUCUGCCGACUGUGGACUCAGUGUCAACGUUGUCAAGAAAGUUUACAUGAAGAAGUCAUAUGCACCAGCCGUGAUUGUCCAAUUUUCUAUAUGCGCAAGAAAGUACAAAUUGAUUUAGGAGCAUCAGUAAAAGCAAUUCAGAGAUUUGGAAAUCCUGUCUGGUGAUUUUUAGCACCAUUGAUCAUCGUCAAAUAACUGUCCUUCAUAAUUUUCACACUCGCGUAAGUGUUAAUUUAAGUAUUAGAAAAAUGUUUAAACUGUUUUAUUUUUUUAAUGUUCUGAUUCACUCAAUUUUGCCCUCACAUUUGAGGGUCGGCAUGGCACAGAGUUGUCGCUGCCAUUCUUAUUUCCUGUAAUUAAUCAAUAGUUCAUUGUUACCUAGCGUUGCCCUUUUUGUCGCAAAUUCAGCAACCUUGCUAGGAUUGAGCCCUCAGAAGGGCCAUUUGUAAUUAUCGGAAGCAAAAAUAAAGUUGUUUUAUAAUUUUUAC